rnacentral:lncRNA from 1 species
GUAGGGCAGGAGGGAAUUGUCCACAACAAGAACAGAAAGUGAAACCCAGGGAAAAAUUUACUCAUUGAAGAGAAGAGGAAACUGUGGUAAUUUGAAUGCAUUUGGCCCCAUGAUCUCUUAGGGAGUGGCACUAUUAGGACGUGUGGUUUUGUUGGAGUAGGUAUGGCCUUGUUGGAGGAAAUGUGUCACUGGCUUUGAGGUUUCCUAUGCUCAGGAUACUGCCCAGUGAGUCAGUUGACUUCCUGUUGCCUCUGAGUCAAGAUGUAGGACUCUCAGCGCUCCAUGUCUACCAUCCUCACCACGAUGAUAAUGGACUGAACCUCUGAAACUGGUCCAUAAAUCUUGUGAUGUGAGCUCAUGGACUUUAAGCAGCCUCAAGAACUUUGAAGAAUGAAAUAUUUAGCAAGGAGACAAGUGACUGCUGUUAUGGAAACGGAUAUUACCCACCCAGCAGUGGUGUGUUCUAAGUGCUUGACAUUCCAAUCUUAAAACCCAAGAAGUGGGUCUGUGAGGUGGCUCCACAGGUGGAGAUGCAUUGCAGGCCUGGAGACCUAGGCUGGAUGGAUUCUCGUGACCCAGCUGUUUUACAGACACCUGGGAAUGAGUGCUGUUACUGUAUCAGUGAGUCUGGCCUGGCGGAAACUAAUAUCAAGUCGCUCUGCAAAUUGUCUGAAGACUUCACCAAUAUGACCAGGGCAUCUCUCGGUUCCAUCUUCCUGGCAAUCUUCACUGUUCCCAAGGCUAGUCCCACUCAUAGAGCUUGUGGAAAAUAAACCAACACAUGUGUGAGAUUUGACCAUCACUGUUGAGGCAGCCUGGUGGACACAUUUUCAACUGCAUCUAAGGCCAGGCUAGGGAGCUGUCGUUCAAGAUGUCCCUCGCAUCACCCCUCAUUCUCCCAUUCUCCGGUUAGGAUGAGGUCUCAGCCAACACAUAGGAGGUUUGCUUUAGUUUUUAAACACAUUCUGACUUGUGUGCUCUUGGUGCAGCUCUCCUCAGGGUCAGGUUGUGGGUAUCACUUGGCAGUGUGCAAGCAUGUGGAGGAGGUUUGUGUGUGGUAGAGGAGUGAUUUAGAUAGCAAGGGCAGGAGAAAAGACAAGGCCAGGGAUGGAAGUAGAAAUGGUAAUUAUGUCCCAUUGUACUGGCUGUCAGGCUAUUAUUCUAACAUAACAUACAUUAUACCUUGUGAGUAGGAAUCAGAGGCUUUUCAAAAGCCACUUUUCUUACUUUAAAUGGUGAAUUUUAUGUAUCAUUAAGUCCAUUCUUAUAUAAAAUCUGAGCUAUUUAAUUUUUUUUCUAGCUAAGUUUUGAGUAAAAGGAGAGCCCAACACCAGUAACAUCUCCUAGAAGAACCAAGACAUGGGGGAGGUGUUAGAGGGCCCCCCUUUCUCCAGGAGAAUUUUGGGAAAUUAGAGAAGGACCUGGAAAACAGAUUUGGAGGGGACAAACUGUUGAUAGCCAGACACCUGCUUGGGUGAGGCAAAGAAG